rnacentral:rRNA from 1 species
GAUGAACGCUGGCGGCGUGCCUAAUACAUGCAAGUCGAGCGAUCCACUUCGGUGGUGAGCGGCGAACGGGUGAGUAACACGUAGGUGAUCUGCCCAUCAGACGGGGACAACGAUUGGAAACGAUCGCUAAUACCGGAUAGGACGAAAGUUUAAAGGUGCUUCUGGCACCGCUGAUGGAUGAGCCUGCGGCGCAUUAGCUAGUUGGUAGGGUAAAGGCCUACCAAGGCGACGAUGCGUAGCCGACCUGAGAGGGUGAACGGCCACACUGGGACUGAGACACGGCCCAGACUCCUACGGGAGGCAGCAGUAGGGAAUCUUCGGCAAUGGGCGAAAGCCUGACCGAGCAACGCCGCGUGAAUGAUGAAGGCCUUCGGGUUGUAAAAUUCUGUUAUAAGGGAAGAACGACUUUAGUAGGAAAUGGCUAGAGUGUGACGGUACCUUAUGAGAAAGCCACGGCUAACUACGUGCCAGCAGCCGCGGUAA